rnacentral:rRNA from 1 species
AUGAACGCUAAUAGUAGGCUUUACACAUGCGAGUUGAACGGAUUUUUUAGUAGCGAACGGGUGCGUAAUAAAUAGGAAUCUGCCUUAUAGUCUGGACUUAAAUUCUGGAUAAUUCAUAAAGAAUAUUUUGCUAUAAGAUGAGCCUGUUUAGGAUUAGGUUGUUGGUGAGGUAAAAGCUUACCAAGCCUAUGAUCCUUAGUUGGUCUGUGAGGACGGUCAGCCACACUGGGACUGAGACAAGGCCCAGGCUUCGUUUGAAGCCAGCAGUGGGGAAUCUUGGACAAUGAGCGAAAGCUUGAUCCAGCUAUACUAAAUAAGUGAAGACAGCUUGACAUUGGUUGUAAAACUUGGAUUUCAAGGAGGAUUAUGACGUUAUUUGAAUGAUUAGUCCCAGCUAACUUCGU